rnacentral:misc_RNA from 1 species
UUUCAAAGGAGUCCUUUUGGAGAGACCUGGGAUCAUUCUUAAUUUCAAGCCAUGGUUCAGUGCUUAUCUUGCAAUCAAGAACUAGGGCCAAGAUGGCACAGAAUCUCCAACAAGAAGGUCCUUCGUUUCUGAAUUCUCUUAGUGAAGGUGAUGCUCUUCGUCUGGUAGACUUGCUAAUCUCAGAUAAGAAAUGGGUGGAUGAAUGUCUUUCCCGAACCUUCCCUUACAAGCUCAUUCAGCCAGCAGUCAAAGCUUCAAUCAACAGUAAUUCUUCCAAUUCGAAUGGGUUGAGUUCUGUGUUUAGGAAUACGAGAGAAUCUAAUUUGAAGAGCUCACAAAAACUUGACGGUGAGAAAAUACACCAAAAUCCCCCUCACACGGGAGUUUCUCGACCGAUCAUUCAGG